rnacentral:rRNA from 1 species
UUUAGUGUAAAUCUUCUUCUGAACGCGCUCAAUCUCGUCUGAUCUCGGAAGCUAAGCAGGGUCGGGCCUGGUUAGUACUUGGAUGGGAGCCAUUUCUAUCUUAGCUGUGGAGUACUGGCACGCCAUUA